GGCGACGCCCGGAGAGGCGCUAGCAGAGGCAGCCGGGUCCCGCGGCUGGCUGCGCGAGUACGUGGACCGCCUCGCGUCCUCGGCCUCCUCCCUCUCCGGGCGGUGGAGCGCGCGGUGGAGCCAGGGACACCACAGCCGCAGCCAGAGCAACCUUGCGAGAUUGGGGCCAGAACAAUAGCUCUAUUUGCUAUGGAACCACCUGUAAGUCUUGAAUGGGGUUCCCUAUGAGCUUCUCCAUCGGCUGGCGUCUCAGCUCCCACCAGUCGCACUCGGAAGCGGAUUUCAUUUACCCUUUCUCCUCGGGGUGGCCCUCGAUCUAGAGACGGCGUCUAUCUCCAGCGAGAGCGAUACCGUCGAGGCGCCUAUCCGCGCCGGACACAACGUCUGCAGUGAUGGGCAACCUCCAGGGCCUGAACGGUGCCACCGUAGGCUUCUCGGCGGCCGGCGGCCCGGAGGAGGCGACUGAAGAGGAGGACAUGCGGGGCUGCAAGGGAUGCGCUCGCCGGUGGCCGAAGUCGGGGCUAAGCUGGGGUUGUGCACGGUCGAGAAGAUGGAGGCGAGGUGAGUCACUCCAUCACACUGCGCAUGUCACCAAGGCACGGCCUCCCAUCUCGGUAACCACCAUCCCCUCCUAUUCAAUGUGAACUCGCCUCAAUCUGAUCGCUUGCGCUGAUCAGUGAAUUAAAAUCUUGGAGAUAGGCUGGACGAGGUAGCUAUAUGUCUAUAUCUCACAUGAAUUACUCUUUGUUAGGCUUUGGUUUUGGAUGUCCAGAAUAAUGUAAGUGUAAAAUAAUCUGGGCCAUAGACCGAGUCAAUUGUGAUGUGGAGACUGACGAAGUUGUCUGCAUUCACGGAUUGAGGCCAAGUCAUUCUUUGUUUGUGAACUGCAAGGAGAAACAUGUCAAUGUUGCUCGAUGUCAAUGGCGGCUGGUGCAUGCAUGUAUCUUUCCUACAGGUCUACAAUUGCAUGCACUGCAAACUAGGCGUCUGUAGAGCAUUAGGUAUGCAUGUAGAAGGAAAGUCCUAAUGCGAUGGUGGUAAUGUGAUGCAUGGUCAAGGAGAGUAAGGUUUAGUUGUUCGUUUCAGAGAAUAAAAGUACCAGUAGAGGUUCAUCCCUCCUGGGCAGGCAACGAGCUAACUAGAUAGGCACCUAACUUAGGUUAGUAAGUUUUAAUUAUUACCUUAACACAACAUGAUAGCGCACAUGAUGAUAUUGUAAAGUAUUUUGGCAACAAUGGUCUAUUUAAACUCCACAGAUUUAUUGGAACUUGAGCUAGCACCUGUAUGAGUCAAGGUAAGACCAAUUUAAUUAAUUGGACAAGCCGACAAGCUAGCACUCUCCUGGAGCAUAAUCUAAAUUGUGUACGCCCUUGUUCAAACAAUUAAUAUAGCUGACUGUUUUUUAAUAUUAUCAUUUAACAGAGCCUAGACUUUUCAACGAAGGUUAUGGAUUUGGCAAGCAGGGGAACUCCUGGAGAUUGUGCCUCUUGGAAAAGGCUUCUUUCUUGCCAACUAUCCUAUUUCAAUUUUGGAUUGACCAUUAUCGUUUGUGUUCCUUUGUCCUCCAUCUUUUACCUCUUGUAGUUACACAAGAACAACUUGAUUGUGCUAAAGAGGCAAUCGAAUCUACAGUUCUGAUGAACUUGGAAUCAAGGGCUAAAGUAACCUGUCUCUGUUUGGUCAUUAUGCUCUAGGAUCCUUCAACUUGACAUCACAACAAUCGUUGAGGAGGUAACCAACUUUUCUAGACUGCAUUGAGAUUGUUUUUGUACCAAACUGCAAUGUGUGCUUAUCUUUGUGCUUCAAUAAAUGGUGUAUAUAUUAGGCUCUUGUUCAGUUAGUACGUCUCGGUUCUCUUAAAAUGGUGAUGUUAGUGUCUUGUGAGUAGGUGGAGAUGUUCUGGGGUCAGGGGUGGUGAUCUGUGCUUUUCUUUUAAAUUAUCUCAAGCAUAACCACACAAAAGAUGUUCCAGAGUUUGCCACAAGAAAGUAUACAUGCUUUUUCUGUUAAGUGAUGAUUAAUGACAUGCUUUUCUAUGAUGAGCAUAGAAACUAUGGAUUAUUCUAGGCCAAAUUCAAUAGAGGUUCUAGAGUCUGACAUAGGCUAUCAUUUUGGAAUGCUUUUGGACACUCGGUGUAGAUGUUAUUUUAGUGUAGCAGUAUAUUGUGUAUUGAUGCCCUUCAAUAUUGGAUUAUGAGUCAUUUACUUAGUCAUUGUUGUGGUCAAAGCAAUAUGAUUAAGACCAAUAUCAUGCUUUGAAUGACUAAAUCCUGCAUUUCUAUGCAACGCCAUGCUCAGUUUUAGAUGAGAUCCACUUCUCCGUGUUUUCGGCUCUGUUUAGCCUGAUACUGACGAAUUCAGGACAGACAACAAUAGCAGUCUCGCUCUUUGCGUCCACAAUUAUAUUUCCAGAUCUUUAUAUUUGGUAUAUAUUAUUCUUAUGACAGUCAUUGAUUAUGGUGGAUAGUACUUUCAUUAGUUAUGUUCUUGUAUCUUUUUUCCUCAUGUUACAUGCCUGGGAUGUCUAAAGCUGCCAUAUUGGUCUGAUUGAUCUUUUAGUGAUAUAUAGAAACUGCAAGCUGUUAUCCAUGGACAUCUAGAGGUGGCCCAUGCCUCACGGCCAAAGCAGAUCAGAUGAGAUUUUUUUGGUCUUGUGUGGUUCUUUUUAAUCUGCUCACAUGAUACUUCUUAUUCAUUGUCAUCCAAUUUAAUUAAUUGCCCUCGACUGAAUUGGUUCCUUUGCCAUUUUACUUAGGAGGAUAAAAGAAGACACUACCUUGGCACAUGCCUGUUGCCACAAUGGACAAAAGAAGAUUAGUGUUGUGUGAUAUUUUUUUCAUUCCUUUGAUCAAUUGCAUGCUAUUUGUACCCCAAUCGACAAAAUAGAUGAGACUCAAUUCAGGAGCAAAUCACCAGUCCUGUUCACAACCCAAUUCACUAUGGCUAAAAUAUCAAACUUAUGCUCCUUGAGGUUUGUUUUUUCCUGAUCUUCCUUUAAUAUCUGAUGACUGAUGGACUGGUGAGUUCAUGAUCUGCUUCAUGCUUUUCCUUUUAUAUAUGGUCACUACCUCACUGGUUAGUUCAUGGUGCUUUUUGUCUACUUCUUUGCCCCAAAAAAAUCCCGGGGCGAAUUUCAGCAUGCUUUUCCUCUAGGUGUAAAGCCACCCACUCGAUCGAUCACCAUAUCUCCCUCUAGGUGUUAUUUUUAAAUAUGCUUUGUUCAGUGUAAAUCGUUGCUUGCAGAUGCUGCUUUCACAAGACAGACAUCUUGCUUUCUAUGGAGUUGAACCAGGAUCAAGCGGCCUUACUGGCCCAUUUAACCAAGGAAUCAUGCAGCCAGAAUUGAUGUGCACCAUUGCCAAUCCUGUUGAUGUUUUGCACGGAGCUAUUCACGACGCGUCAACAAUGAACCAUGUAAUUUUACAGAGUGAUGUACUGACAUAUGUAUAUGCAGUUCCAUAUGUGCUUCCAAAACUGUCAUCUGUCACCCAUGCCCACAUCGUUGCUGGCGGAGAGCACGCAAGUCAUCGUGAGUUCGACCUCCAUGUAAGCCCUCUGCAUCUACAUAUUCAAUUCCCAGGCCCCGUGUUGACCUUCUCUCAUCUCAACCUGCCACUAGAGUACAUACUAAAGAGUUGUCGACGACAUGACGAACCGUCUCAAGGAUGCCACAGUCAGGAUGAUGGAAAUCGAGGCCUACGAAACCCUGCAAACUUUGGGCUCAUCCAGCACCUAUAGUGGAAAAUGCCUAAGUUAGACGCUGCACUUGGUAUAAAAAUAUAUGCAAAAUAUUCCUUAGUUUUUGCAAAUAGGUGUAAUGUAAGUAUAUGUUAAUUGUACAUGUUACAGUAAAUCGAGAAAUAAUGACCCCUACAUGAUCUAUGUGUUACAGGCUGCAUUUUGGAGGCAUGAUAAGGUCUGCUAAUGUGCAAUGUCUAAAGUCCUGGUUGCACCAUCAGCAAUUGUAGCAGACACGGUAACUUUUGUACAUAAAUAUUUCCCUACUAUUAUCCCUACUUACCAAAUUCAUUAUUGGUUCCAAGCAUCUUGAAAGAGAAGUCCAUUGUCUCUCUUACUGUCAUCUCAGCAUGGCUAAUAGAAGCACGCAGGUACUGUGGUGUUGAAUAAUUCAUUUAUUAUCCAUUAUACAUGACUUUUCCUUUGAACUGUUGUCAAUUGUUGGCCAUUAGAAAAUAUAUACUAUAGUCGAUGAUAACAUAUGCGCAAAGAUUUUAUCGAAUAAUUUUUGUGUUCUCGCAAUGUACGUGCAUUGUAUUAUAUAAAUAUAAAGUAGGAGUUUCUCCACCUUCCUUUCAUCAUGCUGCUUCUUGCUGAGGGUGGCGUGAAAAGGUCAGCAACAAGUUCCUCUAUGGUGGCGACAGAGAAGACGGGGGAGGCUCUGGCGACAUUGUGGCGACGACGAGAAGCAAGCAAGGAUAUAAAUCGAUCUGUUUCUUUGGAAAUUAGAUGUAGUAGAAUAUUUACGCGAUACAAAUCUCGUUUCUCUAUAUAUCUAUAUCUAUUACGUUUCUCAUGUCUCUAUUUUUAUUAUAAUGGUUUGGGAAAAUGUCA